rnacentral:rRNA from 1 species
CAUGUCUCAGUGCAAGCCGUCCCGUACGGUGAAACCGCGAAAGGCUCAGUAAAUCAGUUAUGGUUCCUUAGAUUGUACCCACAUUUGUGUUACUUGGAUAACUGUGGUAAUUCUAGAGCUAAUACAUGCCGACAGAGUUCCGACCAGCGCCGGGUGUAUUAGGCUUCGCGCCGACGCCUGGUGUUCGGAAGGAACGCUCUUAUUAGAUCAAAACCGGCCAAACAGUGUAGCGAACGCGUUUUCGAACGCGUUCGCGCUGUAAGCGGCCCGCGCAAAGACUUGACGACUCUGAAUAAUUUCGAGCUGAUCGCACGGUCUUGGUACCGGCGACGUAUCUUUCAAAUGUCUGCCUUAUCAACUGUCGACGGUAGGUUCGAUGCCUACCGUGGUGGUAACGGGUAACGGGGAAUCAGGGUUCGAUUCCGGAGAGGGAGCCUGAGAAACGGCUACCACAUCCAAGGAAGGCAGCAGGCGCGCAAAUUACCCACU